UACGGAGGGUGCAAGCGUUAUCCGGAUUUACUGGGUUUAAAGGGUGUGUAGGCGGAUUAUUAAGUCAGCGGUGAAAUCCCCGGGCUCAACCUGGGAAUGGCAGUGGAUACUGGCAAGCUAGAGUGCGGUAGAGGGUAGUGGAAUUCCCGGUGUAGCAGUGAAAUGCGUAGAGAUCGGGAGGAACACCAGUGGCGAAGGCGGCUACCUGGACCAGCACUGACACUGAGGCACGAAAGCGUGGGGAGCAAACAGG
rnacentral:rRNA from 1 species